CCUACGGGAGGCAGCAGUGGGGAAUAUUGGACAAUGGGGGGAACCCUGAUCCAGCGACGCCGCGUGAGUGAAGAAGUAUUUCGGUAUGUAAAGCUCUAUCAGCAGGGAAGAAAGAAAUGACGGUACCUGACUAAGAAGCCCCGGCUAACUACGUGCCAGCAGCCGCGGUAAGACGUAGGGGGCAAGCGUUAUCCGGAUUUAAUGGGUGUAAAGGGAGCGUAGACGGGCAUGCAAGUCUGAAGUGAAAGGCGGGGGCCCAACCCCCGGACUGCUUUGGAAACUGUAUGGCUGGAGUGCAGGAGAGGUAAGUGGAAUUCCUAGUGUAGCGGUGAAAUGCGUAGAUAUUAGGAGGAACACCAGUGGCGAAGGCGGCUUACUGGACUGUAACUGACGUUGAGGCUCGAAAGCGUGGGGAGCAAACAGGAUUAGAUACCCCGGUAGUC
rnacentral:rRNA from 1 species